AUGCAGUCGACGGUGAAGCCAAGCUUGCUUGGUGGAUCAGUGGCGAACGGGUGAGUAACACGUGAGCAACCUGCCCUGGACUCUGGGAUAAGCGCUGGAAACGGCGUCUAAUACUGGAUAUGAGACGUGAUCGCAUGGUCGUGUUUGGAAAGAUUUUUCGGUCUGGGAUGGGCUCGCGGCCUAUCAGCUUGUUGGUGAGGUAAUGGCUCACCAAGGCGUCGACGGGUAGCCGGCCUGAGAGGGUGACCGGCCACACUGGGACUGAGACACGGCCCAGACUCCUACGGGAGGCAGCAGUGGGGAAUAUUGCACAAUGGGCGGAAGCCUGAUGCAGCAACGCCGCGUGAGGGAUGACGGCCUUCGGGUUGUAAACCUCUUUUAGCAGGGAAGAAGCGAAAGUGACGGUACCUGCAGAAAAAGCGCCGGCUAACUACGUGCCAGCAGCCGCGGUAAUACGUAGGGCGCAAGCGUUAUCCGGAAUUAUUGGGCGUAAAGAGCUCGUAGGCGGUUUGUCGCGUCUGCUGUGAAAUCCCGAGGCUCAACCUCGGGUCUGCAGUGGGUACGGGCAGACUAGAGUGCGGUAGGGGGAGAUUGGAAUUCCUGGUGUAGCGGUGGAAUGCGCAGAUAUCAGGAGGAACACCGAUGGCGAAGGCAGAUCUCUGGGCCGUAACUGACGCUGAGGAGCGAAAGGGUGGGGAGCAAACAGGCUUAGAUACCCUGGKAGUCCACCCCGUAAACGUUGGGAACUAGUUGUGGGGACCAUUCCACGGUUUCCGUGACGCAGCUAACGCAUUAAGUUCCCCGCCUGGGGAGUACGGCCGCAAGGCUAAAACUCAAAGGAAUUGACGGGGACCCGCACAAGCGGCGGAGCAUGCGGAUUAAUUCGAUGCARCGCGARRACCUUACCAAGGCUUGACAUAUACKARAACGGGCCRGAAAUGGUCGACUCUUUGGACACUCGUAAACAGGUGUGCAUGAUGUCGUCAGCUCGUGUCGUGAGAUGWUGGGUUAAGUCCYSCAACGAGCGCAACCCUCGAUCUAUGUUGCWGCMCGUAAUGRUGGGASUCAUGGCAUACUGGCGGGUCGACUCGAGAAAGURGGGAUGACGUCAUCAUCAUGANCGUAAGUCCUGCUGC
rnacentral:rRNA from 1 species